rnacentral:lncRNA from 1 species
UCACAGUCGCAUGGUCGCACAUACAUGCACAUGACGUCGUAAAUUUCAUAAGUUACUCAAAACCAAUUUAAUAGUUAAAAAACGGAGAUCGGAUAAUGAGUUAAAUGUUUUUAAAUAAUUUCAGCUGAAGUUUUCGUGUACCUGGCCAACGGUACGUAGGUGCUCGUGACAGUAGAAAUAAAAUGGUCUAAUCAAAAAGUGCAAGCUCGCAUGCUAUGUCUUCUGAAGCUAAAUAAUUUCUUUCAAGAUUUUGUAAAUCUUCAAGAUAUUGAUGCCUUCCCCAGAACAAAUUCUUUGCUGCUAUCUAUGUUGCAGGCAACAGCAAGUCAAUGUUUCUAUUCAAGAUUUUGUGGUAAUCAUCACUUAGUUCUAAUUUAGGACAAUGUAAGAUUUGAGGUAUUGCUUUCUGUCAC